rnacentral:rRNA from 1 species
AGCAGUCGCCACGGGAAUACGUAGGGUGCGAGCGUUAAUCGGAAUUACUGGCGUAAAGCGGGCGCAGACGGUUACUUAAGCAGGAUGUGAAAUCCCCGGGCUCAACCUGGGAACUGCGUUCUGAACUGGGUGACUAGAGUGUGUCAGAGGGAGGUAGAAUUCCACGUGUAGCAGUGAAAUGCGUAGAGAUGUGGAGGAAUACCGAUGGCGAAGGCAGCCUCCUGGGAUAACACUGACGUUCAUGCCCGAAAGCGUGGGUAGCAAACAGGAUUAGAUACCCGAGUAGUCCCUGUCUCUUAUACC